CAAAUGCCAAGCAAGGACCAGUUCGUUUUAAAAUAUAGGUAUCUUUUAUAUUCAUUACGCCAAGCCUAAUAAGAGAGAAACAUGGACAUAAAUCACAACCAAGAUUUCUGGUUAUGAUGUUAUAAUACAUAGGGAGGAACUGCGGUGAUUUAGCAUCUUCAUGUACUCCACACCUCUGGCCGUUCAUCUAACUCUUGGCUGCAGGCUUGCUUCCCGUUGUCUAAUAAAAGUCAUAAAAAGUUUGUAAGCACAUAAUUAAUGCCUCAUGGAUGAGAUCAUAGUUCCCAUGUUUGAAUAAAAAGAUUGUCUAAUGCACUCAUUGCUUGCACUCAUACUUCCCAUUAUGAGACAAUAAGAAAUGAAAUCUUGUUGUAAAGAUGAAUAAAUAAAGAAGAAUAGGUGAAGCCCACAUAGCCAACUAACACCCACCAAACCUAACCACACACCCACCAAACCAAACCACUACCCAAUUGAUUGAAGAAUAUUAAUGAUGUUGUUGAUUGAAGAAUAUUAAUGAUGUUGUCUACCAAUUAUAUUGUGAGGUGAACAACCAAUGUCUUAGGCCUAUAAAUAGAUACCGCCAUCAAGAGAAGUUUACACAUAUAGAAGAGGAAGAGAAGGAAGAAUGAGGGUGAAUGAGUUGAGAGGAAAGAGAGCAAGAGAGAAAUUCUCCAAGAGAGAAAAUUGAGUGAGCCAUACAUAUUGUAAACACAAAGUUGUAACCCUAUUACUUUACAUAGUGGAAAAGUAGGCAUAGCCGAACCUCGUUAAAUACUGUGUCUCAUCUACUUUACGUGCAGCUCAAUAUUCGCACAUAUACCAGUUCAUUUUAUAACACGUUAUCAGCACGAGAAGCUCUCAGGUAUAAUUUUUGUGUUGCACUAUUAUCUAUACUACUAACCCUUAUGUUGAUGUAAGGAAGAAAAGUAGUGGAGGAGCUGUGGUCUGCAAGAGAGAUAUACGAGCAAACCAACUGUGUGCAGAUUACAGGUGGAAAGCAUUUGAUUUAAGAGACAAGCAUGAUACCUUCCACAAACGAUAAUAAUAUUAUCUGCUAUACUAUUUGAUCGUGGUGUUGAUGAGAACCCACCAAUAAUUGCCUUUAAUUUACCGCACAUUUACAUUUAUUUAAAAGGGUGGUGCGGGUUUAUCGUCCACGCCUUUAUUUUUAUUUAAAUGUAUGGAGCAGAAUUAGUGCCCAUACAAGCACCAUUUACUUUACCGCACAUUUAAUUUUAUUUAAAGUAUGGUGCGGGAUUAACGUCCAUACAGCAAGCAAUUUAAUUUAUGAAUUUAAUUUACCGCACAUUUAUAUUUAUUUAAAAGGGUGGUGCGGGUUUAUCGUCUACGCCUUUACUUUUAUUUAAAUGUAUGGAGCAGAAUUAAUGCCCAUACAAGCACCUUAACUUUAUGAAUUUAAUUUACCGCACAUUUACAUUUAUUUAAAGUGUGGUGCGGGUUUAUCGUCCAUACCAGUAAUUUAUUUACCAACAAUUUAUUUUAUGGAUUAAAUGUGCUGUAUGAUGAGUUUUUACAGUAUGCAGAUCAGGACCAGAAGUUCCUUGAUCCUCAUCAUACAAUUACAUCAGGACUGAAGAUCCUUGAUGAUGAUGUUAAUAUGAGAGCUGUCAGUCUCUCCGGUACUAUAUUUGUAAACAUGUGAUUGGACUUGAGGGUCUUUGAUCCCUGACAUGUAAAUUAGGACCUGGGGUUCCUUAAUGAUGUAACAGUACCAUAUUGGUUCAUAAUGCCGUACACAUGGAUGAUAACUGUACUGGCAAAUGUAUUGUACACAUGAAUAGAUACGUAUUCAUGACUUGAUGAAUAGUACCGGAUAUAUGAAUAGUGACGUAUACAUAAAUAUUAACCAUUUUGGGUAAACCAUCACUAUUCAAAAAGGGAACCUGCAGUUCCUUAAACUCAUGAAUGAGCAAUUAAAUGAGAUGCCAGAAGUUCCUCAAGAUACGGACAAUUAUGUAAGGGCUUGAAGUCCAGAAAUAUGUAUAUAAAAUUGUAAAAAUGUCCAUACCAUGAGAACAUGUGAUUUUGGCUUGAGGUUCAAAAUCUAACAGUGUUGAGAACCUGAAGUUCCAACAAUUAAAUGGACAACCCUUGAGGUAUUAUUGCAAAUUGUGGUACGCCACAUAUUUCUUUGGCAUAAGAGAAUGAUGAAUUGAGGCUCCCCUCACAUUUUGUAAUAUCUGGGCCGGAAGCUCAUGAACCCAAAUAUAUGAGAUAUUAGCAUGGCUUUUACCCCAUUCAUAUUUCAUGUCCAUUUGAAAAGGGCGAAUAAAUUCUGAGUUUGUGUUUAGCCCAGGCCAAAAGUUCCAUACAUUGAAAUAUGAAAUUUGGGAGAGUCGAUGUGGUUAUUUGAACCUAUAAGGCACAAGGUUCCAAACCGUCAUCUUGAAAAGACGUAAAAAAAAAAAAAAAAAAAAAUCACAAGUGCAAGUUUAAGAAUGUGCGCAAUUAUUAUAACAUGAAAGGAACAUACAACAGAUAGAUUUUUCCACCUGCAAUGAAGGUGCUGGCCCUGUAAAAUCUAUAAAAUUACAUUAUGUUCUGGAAGCCUCUGAAGGAAGAGGACGACGCCUCUUAAGCUUAGCCAUGAGCCUCUCGUGGUCUCCCAAAAUUCUUUCAUUGGAGACCUGCAGCAUGUCUAGCCUUCUCAGUGUAUCAACAGAGUACGAACUCACCAGUUUCAACAAGGCAUUAUUCUCUCCUUUAAGUUUCUCAACCUCCUGUUGAGACUCAUGAAGCAUUCUUUGGAGAGACGAAUUUUCAGUUGUUAACCUCUCAACCUCGUUUGCUCUGGCACGCAAACGAUCAGCCAUGUUAGAAACAGAAGCAGCACUCUGAAUGCUAAAAGCCAUUGAGUCAUCAAUAGCCUCUUCCUCUGAUCUCCCUGUUAACAGCAUUUCAUCCAUUGGAGUAAUGAAAUUCCUAGCUACUAUGACAACAGUAGCAUCAUUCAUCAUCACAGAAUCAUUAACUGUGAGAUGACGAUUUUGGGAUACAAAGGAUGGACGCUAAACUUGGACGUCACUGGUUGUUGUGGGAGUAUCAUUUAAAUUGAGAUAAUUUGGGCAGGAAGAAGAGGAAGCCAUUUUUAAGAAGGUUUCGAAGAAAGUCUUAAGAAAACUAAAGUUUCAGAAAAUGAAGGAAGUUGAGUUGAAACGCAGUUGCUCCAAUCAAGUUUUGCAAAGGCAAUAUCUAUAGGAGGAAAUAUGACUACAGUUUUCAGGAUCCCAAUAUUAUGUCAGAUCCCCAUAUUAUCUUUUUCUUUCCCAGAUUCCAAAACUUCACGUGGCCUCCAUUAAUGUUUGUCGGCACUUUCGGCGUUUUCAAAGUAUUAUUUUCGUCAAAAGCUGAUCUUGCUUUACGGAUUUCAUGGAGCUACUUUUUCAAAAGUAUCCCGAGAAUCUCGCAAUUUUCCUAUGGUUAAUUUGAAAUUCACCGGUUCUACCUAUUCCUCUUAUUUGUGUAUAAAUGUGUUAAUAACGAAAUUUUCUUUGCAGAAGACAUCCAGUUUUCUCCAUACCUAGUGAUGCGAUAUCUACUUAUUUUUCUUAUCAGUGAGCACUCAAUAUGCCCGAGAAGCAAGACUAUCUCUGAUCAUCCAUUCAGGAAGCGAGACUAUCCCUGAUCACGUUUCCGCCACAUCAGGGAACUGUGAAGGCGACCUUAUGCUCUAAUCUCCGGAAGUUCUUCUAGACUAGGAGAAAUGAGAGCUGGUUGUUUGCUCCCACCAGCUUCCUUCCUUGAUUGCUGAGCUUGUUGUCUGCUCCCACCAGCUUCCUUCCUUGAUUGCUUACCUUCUCUUGCAAUCAAUAUCACAUUAUUUUUGCAUUUUUUCUCUUUUUGUAACUCUCUGAGGAUUAUUUGUUUUUGACAGAGAAAAGAGUUGUGAUUUUGCUCUUGCAGGAUGUAACUAGAUCAUCAAGCGCUACAUUUACUGGGCCGAUACAAGCUUGAAUGAUACUUGAGAAAAGUUUCUCCCACCUAAGGAAGUAAGCAAUACUUGUGUUAUUUUAUGCUUAUAUACUUAUUUGAUAUUUUAUCCGUUCCAAAAGAAUGGCUUGUAUGUAUCCACGAAUUAUUAAUGCAAAUUUUACAGAUUGCAAGUUGGAUACAUUGAUAAUACACUGCACAGAUUAAAGUCCCAUAAGAACAGAAUAUGAGUAUAGCAGUGAUCAAUAUGAUGCACGCCUAUUGCGUAGCAAAUGAUGUGGAUUGAAGUCCCGAAAGGACAAUCCUUUGACAUGUCAAUAUUGAUAUUAUGCACGCCUAAUGCGUAGCAAAUUAUAUGGGUUAAAGUCCCAUAAUAUGGGUUAAGGUCCCAGAAAUUAAUUGACAUGUAUGUAUUAAUCUGUGACAUGCCUUCAGCAUGACAGAUAUAUGGGUUCUAAAUGUUCCAACUCCCUAAAUGGAGAUUAUCCACGCCCUACUGCUAAAUAACGCUCCAAUGGAGGUUAUAAUCCACAUUCUCACAUAAUAAAAGCCCCAUGAAGUGGCUUGGGUACCCAAAGGCAAAUAAAUGCUUAUAAUUGAUGCAUGCGCAUGCAAAUGAGAAUGGUGGGAUCAUGAAUUGAUGAAUGACAAUUUUUGAUCAUGAAUUGAUGAAUGACAAUUUUUGGUUUUGGAGUAGCUACUCAAAUCAUCAAUGGGCUGUGUUGAUUGGAACCACGUUCAAUUAUUAAAUGUCGACAAUAUUAUUGGCCAAAAUGGAAUGAGGUAAUUCCAUUAUAGAUGAGAAUGAACGUGAAAGGACAAACCCACAGUACGAACCCCAAAAGAUGUUAAUACUGAAAUUUAUACUUGGGUGUUCGGAAUAAAAGGGAAUAUACAUACUUUGUAUGACACACUGUUUCUGGCAGAAACAAGGAAUGUUGGGUUUUCUCCAUAUUUACAGAUUCAAUUGUGCCCCCUCUUAUUACACAAUUACGGAGACCAACAUAUUAUCUUUAAGGGUUAUUAAAUGCACGGAGCAUAUCGUCAGAAGCGAUUUUCUAAAGAUAUAUAAAUAGCUGGGUAAAAGCUAUAUAAUGUGUCAUAAAGUUUAAACCCUUUUUAGACAAAAUCCGUUGAGAGAAUUGACAUUGCAUAAAGCAAGUCCCUAAAGGACAUGUGCUUGAAGCACAAAAUUUGUACUCAAUAUUAAUAUGCAUAAAUUACCUCAGUGAGUACAUUGAUUAUAAUGUGAUUGCAACACAUUAAAGCUUCUGCAGAGUUCAAGAAAUAUUUGUCUCGACUUAAGGAUCGAGCAUUAUGCCAACGAGAUUCUUGCUUAUACUAAGAAAGUAUUGAAGCAUUUUUAUGAGGAUUAUCCGUUGGACACUUUAAUGAUUUUCCGGAAGUAUAUUGGACCGGACAUCAUAUUUUCCAGAGAGGGCUCAACUCCAUCACCAUCAUUUUGGGAUGAUGUGAGGUAUAUUUGAUGCUAUCUCCGCAUAACACCAUGUACGGGCAUAUUCUUUCAAGUGAACUUACAAAUAGCCUAAGUUUUGUUAGAAACGCGGACUCUGAAAAUUUCUAUGAUUUACAUAGAGAUAGCUCACUGGAAAUAUAUUUACUUACUCAACUACGAGAAUUAUUAAUGGCUAUAUCCUCCACUCACUCCGAAAGAUUCUCACUCCAAAAGAUAGUCAUGAAGACAUCAGGGGGAGAUAUUAAUCAGGGGGAGAAUCCAGAAGUAUGCUAUACAGAUUGCUGUACUCUUUUUUUCUUCCUUCCAUCAGUUUUCUACCUCACUGGGUUUUUCUCCAAGCAAGGUUUUAAUGAGGCAACCAAUCUAGGGACAUGUGGUCUCCAAGGGGGAGUGUUGUAAAGAUGAAUAAGUAAAGAAGAAUAGGUGAAGCCCACAUAGCCAACUAACACCCACCAAACCUAACCACACACCCACCAAACCAAACCACUACCCAAUUGAUUGAAGAAUAUUAAUGAUGUUGUUGAUUGAAGAAUAUUAAUGAUGUUGUUGAUUGAAGAAUAUUAAUGAUGUUGUCUACCAAUUAUAUUGUGAGGUGAACAACCAAUGUCUUAGGCCUAUAAAUAGAUACCUCCAUCAAGAGAAGUUUACACAUAUAGAAGAGGAAGAGAAGGAAGAAUGAGGGUGAGUGAGUUGAGAGGAAAGAUAGCAAGAGAGAAAUUCUCCAAGAGAGAAAAUUGAGUGAGCCAUACAUAUUGUAAACACAAAGUUGUAACCCUAUUAUUUUACAUAGUGGAAAAGUUACUGCUGCUGCUCUCCGGGGAUGUAGGCAUAGCCGAACCUCGUUAAAUACUGUGUCUCAUCUACUUUACGUGUAGCUCAAUAUUCGCACAUAUACCAGUUCAUUUUAUAACAAAUCUUUAUUUUUUAUAUGCUUUUUGUUUUUGUCUCUUGUACUAUACGAGGUCUAGCCCAGUGGAAAAUGGUCUUGACUUGCAGACCAUUGGUCUCAAAUUUGAACUCCCCUGACACAUUGGUAGUGUGUGUGUGAGAAACCCCAUUCCCCUUGUUUAGGCUAUCACUUGUGUUUAUAAAUAAGAAAAACAGUAAUCUGUUGUAAAAGUGGAGUCCCCAAAAUGCCCCCAAAAUGCCUAUAAAUAGGGCUUUCCCUACUUGUAAGAAUAUACACAAUGAGAUUAAGAAAACAUUCAAUGAGAAAUCAGAUUUCUAUUCCCUUCUCUCUCUCUCAAUUUUCUUUCCAAUUUAGAUAGAUUUAUAACACGUUAUCAGCACGAAUUCGCUUUCAAAAUACCAGCUGAAUUCUCUGAUUUUUUUUUCUCUCUGCUUCUGGUUUCCGAGAAAUGAUCUGCUACCUCCAUCCAUGAAAGCAGACGGUGCGUUUGCUACUUUUGGCCAUGGACUGUUUACUAGAUAUCAGUGAGCCAAAUUCCAGAUCCCGAAUUGAAAAACAAAAUUUUCAACCAGAGCCAAACAAAAACGUUCAAUACCCAUUUCUCCCCGGCCCCUAGGCUAUCAUUCCCUCUCGGUUCCAAGCCCAGCAACGAAGCCAGACUGGGCAUACUGGAGCUGGCCAACAUGAUCAGCGUCCCCAUGUCCCUAAACGCCGUCGUUCGCCUCAAAGCUCACAGAGCCGGUUUUCGGACUUGUUCUUGGCGAGGAACCUGAUCUCCAUGGCCGCCUGCUUCUGCUUCUGAACCUGAUCUCCAACGUCGGCGGCAACGAGCUCACCAACAAUGGCGGCAACCACACCCUCGCCCCGUGAAGAGAACGUGUACAUGGUGAAGCUCGCGGAGUAAACUGAGCGUUACGAGGAGAUGAUGGAGUUCGUCGAGAAAGUCUUGGCCUCCGCCGAGAAGGAGGAGCUGACCGUGGAGGAGCGCAACCUCCUUUCCGUCGCCUACAAGAACGUGAUCGGCGCUCGCCGGGCCUCCUGGCGCAUCAUCUCCUCCAUUGAGCAGAAGGAGGAGAACCGCGGCAACGACGACUACGUCGCCAUGAUCCGCGACUACCGAUCCAAGAUCGAGACCUGCGAUGGCAUCUCUCGGUUGCCUUUAUUUCUCUAUGGUCCGAACUUUUGAAAACCCACUAACCCAAACGCCAUGAACUUCAGCUCCAUGAGCUGCCCUCUGAUCUUCACCCUCAGCUUUAGUCUACAAUCGGCGUCGAGUUCGCCACUCGGAGCACCCCAGCGUUGUUCAGAUCAAAGGCCACCGAUUUCGGCUUGUCCGUCUUCUACAAGCCAGGUCUGGGUUUUUCUUAUUUUUCAAAGAUGUUGAGGAGGACUAUGAGCUCGGCUACGCAGCAGCAGGGUCUGGAGGCUGUUUGGGGUGAACUUGGAGUGCCAGCAGCAGGCUGACCACGAGUCCCAGCCAUCCAUCCACACCCGAUGGCUCGUCGUCUUUGCCCAUGUCAUCGAGCCAGGGUCCAACCCCACACCACCACUUGUACCCCCGAGCUGCUUAUGACUAUGCUGCAGACCAGAGGCAAAAGAAGGGUGAAGCUUGAGCCAUUCUCUGCGCUUCCCAGUUACAUGAUGACGGCCACGACUGAUAAAGAAAAGCACCCACAGCUCAACAGAGAUGCCCAUGGAAAUGAUGACUUAGGUCUAAUGGCGGGCCACGCGAUAAACAUAAGUUGGCUGGACAGCACAUGUUGUCGAGUGCACAUGAUUACAGCCCCACCCACAUAUUCUGCUGCACAUGUGAAAACCCACCGAAACACUGAAAAAAUAAUAAUAAUAAUAAUAAAAGGGGAUCACUCAGCAAGGGCAUAAGCGAAAGAAUAAGCGAUAAGAUCUCUGCUCCCUUAUCUUCCCUAUUAUUUCCUAUUAUAUUUAUCUGCUUUUCUAUUACUAACCAUUAACAAAAAUGGACCCUUGGUAAUACUAAACAUAUUAUCAGUGGGAGACCAUUACUAAUACUAACAUUUUUCUUAUUUUAUUCGGUGGUGGUUUUAACCCCACAUUUAUUUUAUUUACUGUAUAGUGUAGGUUUAUUACCCAUACAACCAGUAUUUAUUUAAAAGGGUGGUGCGGGUUUAUCGUCCACGCCUUUACUUUUAUUUAAAUGUAUAGAGCAGAAUUAGUGCCCAUACAAGCACAAUUUACUUUACCGCACAUUUAAUUUUAUUUAAAGUAUGGUGCGGGAUUAACGUCCAUACAACAAGCAAUUUAUUUUAUGCAUUUAAUUUACCGCACAUUUACAUUUAUUUAAAAGGGUGGUGCGGGUUUAUCGUCCACGCCUUUACUUUUAUUUAAAUGUAUGGAGCAGAAUUAAUGCCCAUACAAGCACCUUAACUUUAUGAAUUUAAUUUACCGCACAUUUACAUUUAUUUAAAGUGUGGUGCGGGUUUAUCGUCCAUACCAGUAAUUUAUUUACCAGCAAGUUAUUUUAUGGAUUAAAUGUGCUGUAUGAUGAGUUUUUUUACAGUAUACAGAUCAGGACCAGAAGUUUCUUGAUCCUCAUCAUACAAUUACAUCAGGACUUGAAGAUCCUUGAUGAUGAUGUUAAUAUGAGAGCUGGCAGUCUCUCCGGUACUAUAUUUGUAAACAUGUGAUCGGACUUGAGGGUCCUUGAUCCCUGACAUGUAAAUAAGGACCUGGGGUUCCUUAAUGAUGUAACAGUACCGUAUUGGUUCAUAAUGCCGUACACAUGGAUGAUAACUGUACUGGCAAAUGUACUGUACACAUGAAUAGUGCCGUAUACAUGAAUAGUGAUGUAUGCAUAAAUAUUUAUCAUUUUGGGUAAACUAUCACCAUUCAAAAAGGGAACCUGCAGUUCCUUAAACUCAUAGAUGAGCAAUUAAAUGAGAUGCCAGAAGUUUCUCAAAAUAUGGACAAUUAUGUAAGGGCUUGAAGUCCAGAAAUAUGUACAGAAAAUUGUAAAAAUGUCCAUACCAUGAGAAUAUGUGAUUUUGGCCCGAAGUUCAAAAUCUAAGGGGAUUGAAUGUCCAUACCAUGAGAAUAUGUGAUUUUGGCCAGAAGUUCAAAAUCUAACAAUGUUGAGAACCUGAAGUUCCAACAAUUAAAUGGACAACCCUUGAGGUAUUAUUGCAAAUUGUGGUACGUCACAUAUCUCUUUGGCAUAAGAGAAUGAUGAAUUGAGGCUCCCCACAUAUUUUGUUAUAUCUGGGCCGGAAGCUCAUGAACCCAAAUAUAUGAAAUAUUAGCGUGGCUUUUACUCAAUUCAUAUUUCAUAUCCAUUUUGAAAAGGGCAAAUAAAUUCUGAGUUUGUGUUUAGCCCAGGCCGAAAGUUCCGGGCUCCCAUACGUUGAAAUAUGAAAUUUGGGAGAGUCGAUGUGGUUAUUUGAACCUAUAAGGCACAAGGUUCCAAACCGUCAUUUUGAAAAGACGUAAAAACCACAGGUGCAAAUUUUAAGAAUGUGCGCAAUUAUUAUAACAGGAAAGGAGCAAGUUGAAUCGCAGUUGCUCCAAUCAAGUUUUGCAAAGGCCAUAUCUAUAGGAGGAAAUAUGGCUACAGUUUCCAGGAUCCCAAUAUUAUCUCAGAUCCCCAUAUUAUCUUUUUUCUUUCCCAGAGUCCAAAACUUCAUGUGGCCUCUGACAAUGCAUGUCGGCACUUUCGGCGUUUUCAAAGUAUUAUUUUCAUCAAAAGCCGAUCUUGCUUUACGGAUUUCACGGAGCUACUUUUUCAAAAGUACCCCGAGAAUCUCGCAAUUUUCCUAUGGUUAAUUUGAAAUUCACCGGUUCUACCUAUUCAUUGUAUUUGUGUAUAAAUGUGUUACUAACGAAAUUUUCUUUGCAGAAGACAUCCAGUUUUCUCCAUACCUAGUGAUGCGAUAUCUACUUGUUUUUCUUAUCAGUGAGCACUUAAUAUGCCCGAGAAGCAAGACUAUCUCUGAUCAUCCAUUCAGGAAGCGAGACUAUCCCUGAUCACGUUUCCGCCACAUCAGGGAACUGUGAAGGCAACCUUAUGCUCUAAUCUCCGGAAGUUCUUCUAAACUAGAAGAAAUGAGAGCUUGUUGUUUGCUCCCACCAGCUUCCUUCCUUGAUUGCUGAGCUUGUUGUCUGCUCCCACCAGCUUCCUUCCUUGAUUGCUUACCUUCUCUUGCAAUCAACAUCACAUUAUUUUUGCAUUUUUUUUUCUCUUUUUAUAACUCUCUGUUCAUAAGAGAUUUUACUUCUUUAGAAUGAACAUCUGAAGAAUGAAUCCAUGAAGUGAUCCUAACUAUGAGGUUUAUUUGUUUUAACAGAGGCAAAAGAGUUGUGAUUUUACUCUUGCAGGAUAUAACUAGAUCAUCAAGCGCUACAUUUACUGGGCCGAUACAAGCUUGAAUGAUAAUUGAGAAAAAUUUCUCCCACCUAAGGAUGUAAGCAAUACUUGUGUUAUUUUAUGCUUAUAUACUUAUUUGAUAUUUUAUCUUGAAAGGUAACCAAAUGGGAAGAUAAGUCCGUUCCAAAAGAAUGGCUUGUAUGUAUCCAUGAAUUAUUAAUGCAAAUUUUGCAGAUUGCAAGUUGGAUACAUUGAUAAUACACUGCACAGAUUAAAGUCCCAUAAGAACAGAAUAUGGGUAUAGCAGUGAUCAAUAUGAUGCACGCCUGUUGCGUAGCAAAUGAUAUGGAUUGAAGUCCCGAAAGGACAAUCCUUUGACAUGUCAAUAUUGAUAUUAUGCACGCCUAAUGCGUAGCAAAUUAUAUGGGUUAAAGUCCCAUAAUAUGGGUUAAAGUCCCAGAAAUUAAUUGACAUGUAUGUAUUAGUCUGUGGCAUGCCUGCAGCAUGACAGAUAUAUGGGUUCUAAAUGUUCCAACUCUCUAAAUAGAGAUUAUCCACGCCCUACUGUAAAAUAACGCUCCAUUGGAGGUUAUAAUCCACAUUCUCACAUAAUAAAAGCCCCAUGAAGUGGCUUGGGUACCCAAAAGCAAAGGAAUGCUUAUAAUUGAUGCAUGCGCAUGCACAUGAGAAUUGUGAGAUUAUGAAUUGAUGAAUGACAAAUUUUUAGUUUUGGAGUAGCUACUCAAAUCAUCAAUGGGCUGUGUUGAUUGGAACCACGUUCAAUUAUUAAAUGUCGACAAUAUCAUUGGCCAAAAUGGAACGAGGUAAUUCCAUUAUAAAUGAGAAUGAACGUGAAAGAACAAACCCACAAUACGAACCCCAAAAUUUGUUAAUACUGAAUUUAUACUUGGGUGUUCGGAAUAAAAGGGAAUAUACCUACUUUGUGUGACACACUGUUUCUGGCAGAAACAAGGAAUGUUGGGUUUUCUCCAUAUUUACAGAUUCAAUUGUGUCCCCCCUUAUUACACAAUUACGGAGACCAACAUAUUAUCUUUAAGGGUUAUUAAAUGCACAGAGCAUAUCGCCAGAAGCGAUUCCCUAAAGAUGUAUAAAUAGCUUGGUUAAAGCUAUAUAAUGUGUCAUAAAGUUUAAUCCCUUUUAGACAAAAUCCGUUGAGAGGAUUGACAUUGCAUAAAGCAAGUCCCUAAAGGACAUGUGCUUGAAGCACAAAAUUUGUACUCAAUAUUAAUAUGCAUAAAUUACCUCAGUGAGUACAUUGAUUAUAAUGUGAUUGCAACACAUUAAAGCUUCUGCAGAAUUCAUGAAAUAUUUGUCUCGAUCGAGCAUUAUACCAACGAGAUUCUUGCUUAUACUAAGAGAGUCUUAUCCGUUGGUCCUUAAAUGUUUUUCCGGAAGUGUACUAGACCAGAUAGAGCUCAGCUCCACACUAUACUCUUUUUCCUUCAUCCAGGUUUUUAUCCCAUUGGGUUUUUCCUGGUAAGGUUUUAACGAGGCAGUGUCGCUCAAGGGUUUAGGGUAUACUAUGAAAAUUUUUAUGGUCGCUUACUGGACAAAAGCUAGUCCUAAAUUUUUCAGGGGGAGAUAUUCAUCAGGGGGAGCAUGGUUUUGAUAAAGACCUUCAUACACUGUACUCUUUUUCCUUCAUCCAGGUUUUUAUCCCACUGGGUUUUUCCUGGUAAGGUUUUAACGAGGCAGUGUCGCUCAAGAUUGACUCACAGAAGUAGUGUCAACUACGAUAUUCAGAAAGUUGAUCAACAGUAUGACUUAAAGAUAUUUUGCCAAGCAUCAGGGGGGAGCGCGCUAUCAAUAAAGAUCUUCAAACACCGUACUCUUUUUCCUUCGUCCAGGUUUUUAUCCCACUGGGUUUUUCCUGGCAAGGUUUUAACGAGGCAGUGUCGCACGCGCGUCAAUAUACACAGAAUUUUAUGUUACACAUAAUUAUGAACUUUUUUUUCCCUUUGACCAGUUUUUGUCCCACUGGGUUUUUACUGGCAAGAUUUUUAACGAGACAUAUUCUGUAUCAUUUGUGGUCUCCAAGGGGGAGUGUUGUAAAAGUGGAGUCCCCAAAAUGCCUAUAAAUAGGGCUUCCCCUACUUGUAAGAAUAUACACAAUGAGAUUAAGAAAACAUUCAAUGAGAAAUCAGAUUUCUAUUCCCUUCUCUCUCUCUCAAUUUCCUCUCCAAUUUAGAUAGAUUUAUAACAUAAUCAGAAAUUUGGUUAGUUCUUGGCUGCCGCUUUGCCACCUAAACCCUGUACAAUCAUCAUUGGUUUGUUAAUGAAACCAAAUAUUUUUAAUACAAACAAUAGUUAAAAUUAAUUUAAAGGGGAUUCAAACUUGGGUGCAAAUGAAGCGGGCUUAUUGCCUUGGCCAACUAGCUUAACCCACAUCUGCUAAUGAAACCAAAUUAAUUAACAUAAAGCAUGAAGACAAACCAAAUCAUACAUUUAACUGAUAGGCCAAGAAGAUGACCCGAAUGUGGAUAUAUAUGUACCUUCUUCUUGGGUGCCUGAGGCUUUGGUGCAGCCUUCUUUGGGGCUGCCUUAGAUGCUGGGGCUUUGGCUCCACCAUCACUGACCUUGGGUUCUUUCUUGGCCUGGCCAAACUGUUGAGUGCCAACUUGCUUUAUUUCAGCCUUCAUUGAUGCCAUGUAUAGUUCUCUAAGAAACUCUUUCACAAUGAUAUAUGAAAAAUCUAACGUAGGUAUUAACUCGAUGGCCUCAACUCAACUGCUCGCUCCUUCUGAGCCUACCCUUCUA
rnacentral:lncRNA from 1 species